rnacentral:snRNA from 1 species
UUUUUAUAUUAGUAAAGCAAUUAG